rnacentral:rRNA from 1 species
UUUAUACUGUGAAACUGCGAAUGGCUCAUUAAAUCAGUUAUCGUUUAUUUGAUAGUACCUUACUACAUGGAUACCUGUGGUAAUUCUAGAGCUAAUACAUGCUACAAACCCCGACUUCAGGAAGGGGUGUAUUUAUUAGAUAAAAAACCAACGCCCUUCGGGGCUCCUUGGUGAAUCAUAAUAACUUAACGAAUCGCAUGGCCUUGCGCCGGCGAUGGUUCAUUCAAAUUUCUGCCCUAUCAACUUUCGAUGGUAGGAUAGUGGCCUACCAUGGUGGCAACGGGUAACGGGGAAUUAGGGUUCGAUUCCGGAGAGGGAGCCUGAGAAACGGCUACCACAUCCAAGGAAGGCAGCAGGCGCGCAAAUUACCCAAUCCCGAUACGGGGAGGUAGUGACAAUAAAUACUGAUACGGGGCUCUUUCGGGUCUCGUAAUUGGAAUGAGAACAAUUUAAAUCCCUUAACGAGGAACAAUUGGAGGGCAAGUCUGGUGCCAGCAGCCGCGGUAAUUCCAGCUCCAAUAGCGUAUAUUAAAGUUGUUGCAGUUAAAAAGCUCGUAGUUGAACCUUGGGCCUGGCUGGCCGGUCCGCCUCACCGCGAGUACUGGUCCGGCUGGGCCUUUCCUUCUGGGGAACCUCAUGGCCUUCACUGGCUGUGGGGGGAACCAGGACUUUUACUGUGAAAAAAUUAGAGUGUUCAAAGCAGGCCUUUGCUCGAAUACAUUAGCAUGGAAUAAUAGAAUAGGACGUGCGGUUCUAUUUUGUUGGUUUCUAGGACCGCCGUAAUGAUUAAUAGGGAUAGUCGGGGGCGUCAGUAUUCAGCUGUCAGAGGUGAAAUUCUUGGAUUUGCUGAAGACUAACUACUGCGAAAGCAUUCGCCAAGGAUGUUUUCAUUAAUCAGGGAACGAAAGUUAGGGGAUCGAAGACGAUCAGAUACCGUCGUAGUCUUAACCAUAAACUAUGCCGACUAGGGAUCGGACGGGAUUCUAUGAUGACCCGUUCGGCACCUUACGAGAAAUCAAAGU